CAGUUGCUAAGUGGUUGCUAGGCAGUUGCUAACGUUUUCCAGGUGGUUGCUAAGUGGUUGCUAGGCAGUUGCUAACGUUUUCCAGGUGGUUGCUAGGCAGUUGCUAAGUGGUUGCUAGGCAGUUGCUAAUGUUUUCCAGGUGGUUGCUCAGUGGUUGCUAGGCAGUUGCUAACGUUUUCCAGGUGGUUGCUAAGUGGUUGCUAGGCAGUUGCUAACGUUUUCCAGGUGGUUGCUAGGCAGUUGCUAAGUGGUUGCUAGGCAGUUGCUAACGUUUUCCAAGUGGUUGCUAGGCAGUUGCUAAGUGGUUGCUAGGCAGUUGCUAACGUUUUCCCGGUGGUUGCUAAGUGGUUGCUAGGCAGUUGCUAACGUUUUCCAGGUGGUUGCUAGGCAGUUGCUAAGUGGUUGCUAGGCAGUUGCUAACGUUUUCCAAGUGGUUGCUAGGCAGUUGCUAAGUGGUUGCUAGGCAGUUGCUAAGUGGUUGCUAGGCAGUUGCUAACGUUUUCCAGGUGGUUGCUAAGGUGUUGCUAAGUGGUUGCUAGGCAGUUGCUAAGGUUUUCCAGGUGGUUGCUAAGGUGGUUGCUAAGCAGUUAUUAGGUGGUUGCUAAGCCCUGGCUGGGGUGCCGGGGUGUCCAAACUUUUGACUGAUAACUGCUCCAUACAGCAGCUCCUCCAUAUACUCACAGUACUGGAGGAGCAGGGGAGAGAAGGGGUUCCGUGCGCAGAGCUGCUCGUGUGUGAGAUGGAACUCUGGGCCCCCCAUUCAUUUCAAUGGGAAAACUUCGUACGACAUUUGUACGAAAACCGUACGACGUAUCGUCGAAACGUUAAAAUUUUCGGAAAGAACGCGGUAAGUUCUAUAGACCGUCCGAUUUUUGUCUUUGUAUGUCAAAAAUUGUUACCUACACAAACGUUCAAAGUUGUCCCCCAUUCAUUUCCUAUGGGAAAAAAAAGCGUACGUUUACGAAGUUUUUACGAAAACCGUACGAUGUAUCGCUUAAAAAAGCACAAGCAACCUAUUCGGGUAUAGGUCCUACGAUACUGCAAAAUUUCGUGAUUCUACGUCAAAAGCCCUAGGAGGAGAUGCGUAUAGAAAUUUGAGCGCGGAAUAAUAAUAAUAAUAAUAAUAAUAAGAAGAAGAUUACGAAGAACAGUAAGUUGGCUUUUCCAAGCCAACUUAAUAAUAACUAGAAAAGGAAAGUUCGAUAACGAACUUUAAGUUGGCUUGGAAAAGUACGUUAAAUAGUUAAAUAACGUUGAAUAGUUAAAAUGGUUGCUAAGAUAUUUCUGUCUAAAGCGUGUGAAGAGUGGUUGCUAUGCUGUUGACUUUCGGCUAAAUGUUGAAGUCCAAAAAGUUUUGGCUAACAUGGUGAAAAGCUUAUAAUUAUCUUAUAAAGUAAAGUGUUGCUAAGUGGUUGCUAGGUAGAUGCUAGGCAGUUGCUAAUGUAGUCCACAUCGUUGCUUAGUGCUUGCUAAUUGGUUGCUAGGCAGUUGCGAACAUAUUCCAGGUGGUUGCUAAGCUGUUGCUAACUUGUUGCUAGGCAAUUCCUAACGUAUUCCAAAUGGUUUUUAAGUGGUUAUUAGGCAGUUUCUAAUAUUUUCCAGGUGGUUGCUAACUGGUUGCUAUGGUAUCUGGGGUGGUUGCUAAGGUGUUGCUAGGUGGUUGCUAAGGUGUUGCUAUGGUAUCUGGGGUGGUUGCUAAGGUGUUGCUAGGUGGUUGCUAGAGGGUUGCUAGGUGGUUGCUAAGGUGUUGCUAUGGGAUCCGGGGUGGUUGCUAAGGUGUUGCUAUGGUAUCCGGGUUGGUUGCUAAGGUGUUGCUAGGUGGUUGCUAAGGUGUUGCUAUGGUAUCCAGGGUGGUUGCUAAGGUGUUGCUAGGUGGUUGCUAGGGUGUUGCUAGGCGGUUGCUAUGGUAUCCAGGGUGGUUGCUAAGGUGUUGCUAGGUGGUUGCUAAGGUGUUGCUAGGUGGUUGCUAUGGUGUUGCUAUGGUAUCCGGGGUGGUUGCUAAGGUGUUGCUAGGUGGUUGCUAAGGUGUUGCUAUGGUAUCCAGGGUGGUUGCUAAGGUGUUGCUAGGUGGUUGCUAGGUGGUUGCUAGGGUGUUGCUAGGUGGUUGCUAAGGUGUUGAUUUGGUAUCCAGGGUGGUUGCUAAGGUAUUGCUAGGUGGUUGCUAAGGUGUUGCUAGGUGGUUGCUAAGGUGUUGCUAUGGUAUCCGGGGUGGUUGCUAAGGUGUUGCUAGGUGGUUGCAAGGUGGUUGCUAAGGUGUUGCUAGGUGGUUGCUAGGGUGUUGCUAGGUGGUUGCUAAGGUUUUGCUAGGUGGUUGCUAAGGUGUUGCUAUGGUAUCCAGGGUGGUUGCUAAGGUGUUGCUAGGUGGUUGCUAAGGUGUUGCUAUGGUAUCCGGGGUGGUUGCUAAGGUGUUGCUAGGUGGUUGCUAAGGUGUUGCUAGGCGGUUGCUAAGGUUUUGCUAGGUGGUUGCUAAGGUGUUGCUAUGGUAUCCAGGGUGGUUGCUAAGGUGUUGCUAGGUGGUUGCUAAGGUGUUGCUAUGGUAUCCGGGGUGGUUGCUAAGGUGUUGCUAGGUGGUUGCUAAGGUGUUUCUAGGUGGUUGCUAGGUGGUUGCUAAGGUGUUGCUAUGGUAUCCGGGGUGGUUGCUAAGAUGUUGCUAGGUGGUUGCUAAGGUGUUGCUAUGCGGUUGCUAAGGUGUUGCUAUAGUAUCUGGGGUGGUUGCUAAGGUGUUUCUAGGUGGUUGCUAGGUGGUUGCUAAGGUGUUGCUAUGGUAUCCGGGGUGGUUGCUAAGAUGUUGCUAGGUGGUUGCUAAGGUGUUGCUAUGCGGUUGCUAAGGUGUUGCUAUGGUAUCUGGGGUGGUUGCUAAGGUGUUGCUAGGUGGUUGCUAAGGUGUUGCUAUGGUAUCCGGGGUGGUUGCUAGGUGGUUGCUAAGGUGUUGCUAGGUGGUUGCUAAGGUGUUGCUAUGGUAUCUGGGGUUGUUGCUAAGGUGUUGCUAGGUGGUUGCUAAGUGGUUGCUAGGUGGUUGCUAAGGUAUUGCUAGGUGGUUGCUAACGUGUUGCUAUGGUAUCUGGGGUGGUUGCUAAGGUGUUGCUAGGUGGUUGCUAGGUGGUUGCUAAG